rnacentral:rRNA from 1 species
CUGGUUGAUCCUGCCAGUAGUCAUAUGCUUGUCUCGAAGAUUAAGCCAUGCAUGUCCAAGUAUAAAUCGCUUUGUACCGGUGAAACUGCAGAUGGCUCAUUAGAUCAGUUAUAGUUUCUUUGAUGCUCGGCGCGUGCGCGUCUACAUGGAUAACCGUAGAAAAUCUAGAGCUAAUACAUGGCGGGCGCCCUCGCGGCGCCUGGUGUUUAUUAGAUACUGCGGCACAGCCGCACACGGCGGCGCCUUGGCGGGCGCCGGCGGGCGACUCCUGAUAACUCGACGAAUCGUCCGGCUGGACGAUAGUUCAUUCAAAUUUCUGCCCUAUCAGCUUUCGACGGUAGGGUAGUGGCCUACCGUGGCGGUCACGGGUGACGGAGAAUUAGGGUUCGAUUCCGGAGAGGGAGCCUGAGAAACGGCUACCACAUCCAAGGAAGGCAGCAGGCGCGCAAAUUACCCAAUCCUGACGCAGGGAGGUAGUGAACAGAAGUAACGAUACUGGGCACUUUCUUACGUGUUCGGUAAUCGGAAUGAGCGCAAUGCAAAGGCAUGUGCGAAAGCGAUUGGAGGGCAAGUCUGGU